UCUAUAGUUUAGCAAGAAUAACUUAUUAAUACUUAUUUUAACACAAUGAAGCACGCAACAACUAACUAUCUAGAACUAGUGAAACUUGUGUGUAGCCUUCAAUAGUUGUUGCAUUCCAUCUACAUUCACAGAAUAUCAAUCAUUUCAUCUUUGUCAAAAUAUUAAUAAGCUGACUUCUUGAUGGCUCUAUCAGUUCAUGAUAUGAUGUAAAAUCCUUAUUGCAAGUUAGGAAUAAAGACGAUAAAAAUUAAUGUUAAUAUUAUGACAAAGAAAGUAUCAUUCACUUCCUUUUAUGCCUAUGUCACUAUCACGAUCCAAAAUCCCAACCUGUCGUGAUGACGUCUAUCUCGAUACUAAGCAAGCCGAUAAUCUCGAUAAACCCCAAUUUCUCUUAAGUUUGAAAAUACAAUAAUUUAAUACUAUACAAUAUCCCAUAAAUACUGACAUGAACACUCCCCAAAACCUGGUGUCACUGAGUACAUGAGCAUCUAAUAUGGAUACAAAUUUGGAACAUAAGGUCUAUAAUAGUCUAAGACCAAAAUACAGUAAACAAGGAGAUAGGGAAAGAGAGACAAGGUUUGCGAAACACGGCAGCUACCUCUGAAUCUCCUGAAAAUCAACUGCGCGAAAUGAUCAACACCCGCUAUGUCCGGAAAUACCUGGAUCUGCACACGAAGUGCAGGAUGUAGUAUGAGUACAACCAACUCAACAAGUAACAAUAAUAACUAAGGAACUGAAGAUAAUGAGGAGCUACACAAUUAUAGUUCACUUUCAAUAAUUCCCGCAAAGAAUAGACAUGCUUUCAAAUCCGGCAGUUUAAGUCGAAUCAAUUUUAUACAGUUCAAGUUCAUGUAAUCCGGAUAUAAAAUAUUUCAGAGAUUUCACAACAAUGACAUAUAGCAACCAAGUGCAACAACAAAUGCAAAGCAAGUACAGCCUCUCAGGCAACAAUCACUCAACUCAUCACUCGGCUCUCAGCCCUCAGCACUCACACUCAAUGGGUACCCGCGCUCACUGGGGGUGUACAGACUCCGGAGGGGCUCCUACAACCCAAGCGCCAUAAUCUGUACGGACAACUCACGUGCUAUAAUAUCCUGCACGGAUAACUCACGUGCCAUAAUAUCCUUACCUCAUCGACAUGCCCUCGACCUUACUCAGUCCUCAACCUCUCUAGUCUCUCGGGCUCUGAGAAAUCACAAAGAUCAGCCCAAACAAAGAUAGCAUAGUGUAUCAAUAAAUAUCCAGAAAAGACUAAGGUAUAAUAUGCAAGAAAAAUCAUGACUGAGUACAAGACAAUAAUUAGCAAAUAAUUCAACAAGUACGUGACCUCGGUGGGUCCCAACAAUACUAUCACAUAGCCUAAGCAUGAUUUCUAACAUGAUUUAUAGUCAAAUUUCUUCAACACAUAGAGAGCAUAUAGCUAACAAUAAAUUAUUCAACUUUACAGUUUCAAGGGACGGACCAAGUCACAAUCCCCUCGUUGCACGCUCACACGUCCGUCACCUCCAAAAUAAUCACAUGACACAAAAUUUCGGGGUUUCAUACCCUCAGGACCAGAUUUAAAACUGUUACUUACCUCACAGCGUGAAAUUCUUUUCUCUGCUAUGACUUUGCCUCGCAAAUCGAUCUCCGAAUGCCUCGAAUCUAAUCACAAAUAAUUCGUUUUAGUCAAUAAAAUUUAUUGAAAUUAAUUCCAUAAGAAAAUGCUAUUUUUUCAUAAAAAUCCGAAUUUUAGCUCAAAAAUCGCAUGUGGGACCCACGUCUCGGAACUCGACAAAAGUUACAAAAUCCGGAAGCCCAUUCAACCACGAGUCUAACCAUACCAAUUUUAUCAAAAUCUGACUCCAACUCGACCCUCAAAUCUUCAAUUUAAACUAAGAGGGUUUUCAAACUUUUCCAACUUAAUUCACCAAUUAAAUGAUAAUAACAACCAUGGAUUCGGGUAAUUUAACCAAUAUUGAGUUAAGAACACUUACUCCGUUAUUUUUCUUGAAAAACUCCCGAAAAUCGCCUCUUUAAAACUUAAACUCUCUGCCCAGACAUUUGCUCUACGCGAUCGCGAACAUUCCCACGCGAUCGGAAAGAACAAUUUUCCAUCGCCCAGAUUUUACUCUACGCGAUCGCGGACUCGUCCACGCGAUCGCGAAGCACAAAACGCGUGACUUCUAUUUCCGCUCCACUUACUCUACGCGAACACGACCUUCUUCACGCGUUCGCGAGUCACAAAAUCCCAGAGCUACACGAUCGCGUCCCCGCUUCACGCGAUCGCGAAGAACAAAGUGCCACUGCCUCACAUUAAUCCUACGUGAUCGCAGAUAUCCCCACGCGAUCGUGUAGAACAAAAACCCCUACUGACUAACUAAGUCUACACGAUCGCAGACGCAUUCAGAAAAUUCCAGCAGCUGUUCAAGUCCAUUUUUUUGAUCCGUUAACCAUCCAAAACUCACCCGAGCCCUUCGGGACCUCAACCAAAUAUACCAACAAGUCCCAAAAUAUCAUACGGAUUUAGCCGAACCCUCAAAUCACCUCAAACAAUGCUAAAACCAUGAAUUAUACCCCAAUUCAAGCCUAAUAAAUUUUGAAAUUUCUAAUUUCUACAAACGACUCCGGAACCUAUCAAAUCACGUUCGAUUUACCUCAAAUUUUGCGCAAAGUCAUAAAUGACAUAACAGAGGUACUCAAAUUUUCAGAAACGGAUUUCGACCUCGAUAUCAAAAAGUCAACCCCCGGUCAAAUUCCCAAAAAUUCAACUUUCGGCAUUUCAAGCCUAAUUCCACUAUGAACCUCCAAAUAAUAUUCCGGACACGCUCCUAAGCCCAAAAUUACCAUACGGAGCUAUUGGAAUCAUCAAAAUUUAAAUCCGAGGUCGUUUACACGUAGGUCCAUAUCCGGUCCACUUUUCUAACUUAAAUUUUCAAUUAUGAGACUAAGUGUCUCAUUUCACUCCGAAUUCCUUCCGGAUCCGAACGCACUAACCCGAUAAGUAAUAAAAUAACUAUAAAGCAUAAAUUGAGCACUAAAUAGGAGAACGGAGUUAUAAUACUCAAAACGACCGGCCGGGUCGUCACAGUCACAUGCUCCAACAACUAUUUUUCUUUCAUAUUGAUUAAGCUGUGUAACUAAAGUUUUAAUUUACACGCGUACUCGUUGAUCGAGUAAAACACAACACAAUUCGUUUCAUGAAUAUUGAAGGAAUCAUGAAAGAAAGUAUGCGUAAUUUUAAAUUACAAGUCUCGCUUAUUUCAAUCUUUAAAGCACAUACCUUCCCGCAUGCAUAUAAACUGACAAAGAUUUUUUAACAACCAAUAAAAACUUUCAAUGAGUCGGUUAACCAACAUGCUAUAGAGAGUCCAGUUUCUUUUAACAUAUUUGAACUCCAGUGCAACCUAUAAAAUACGAUACAGAGGUAGACAAAACCACCUCUUAAAGGCUGGUCAAUCAAUAUAGACAUUUUGAGUUGCACUUAACACAACGUGCCAAUAAAACUCAUAAUAUAGAUCAGGUAGCAUAUAAUUAAUGGUUCAACUAAUCCUAUUAUGUUUGACAUGAAAUAUAGAUAUAUAAGUAUGAAAAUCACUAAAUUUUCAAAAAAAAAAUUGAUUUGGAAUCUAUAAUUUUGUAUAUUGAGUUCAACAAUAAGAGCAUAAAGAUUGAACCCGCAUUAAACUUACAUCCUGAAUUUAUAUAUUCAUAAUAGUAUAAUCAUCUUUCUGAAAUUUUGGCUUUACCUAUGAUCGGAUACACUGAACAAUAAAACUCACAACUUCCUAAAUACACAUUAUACUCAGGGCAGACCAUCCAAUUAAGUUUUGCUAUACAAGUUUCAAUGUGCUGAUUUCAUUACUACCAUCGCUCUGCAAUCAACAAUAUCGACAUGCAUUACUUUAUGGUAAAGAAUGAAUUCUACUAAUACAACUAACAAAUAGCAUCCAAACAAAAUAAAACAAAAAAGAUUUAUAAAGCUGAGUUUACGUACAUGUCAUGUCAGAGACAAAGCAUGGCCACAGAUAAAUCUGCUCACAAAAAAUUUGGAUCUUCUAGAGAUACUAUGGCUAAAGGAGAAGAAAGUAGAAGGCAGAUGGAUCUAAACGAAAGGACUAUUUAAGCAAAAUUAAGUUAACGAUAAAAUUGCAAACUACUCCUAUUCAAAAUAGAACUCUUAAACACUCGUAGGAUUGCCGGAUUGAGAUUUGUUAU
rnacentral:lncRNA from 1 species